rfam:Astyanax mexicanus Tnplaced_Scaffold_2467, whole genome shotgun sequence.
AAAAUACAUUAUUGUAAGUCGCUUUGGAUAAAAGCGUCUGCCAGAUAUAAUGUA